rnacentral:tRNA from 1 species
GGGGUUGUGUUGAGGUUACUACCCUCAGAGUGCUAUUAGUUUAGUUGACUCUCAGUGUGGU